rnacentral:lncRNA from 7 species
AUCCACCUACUGCACAUCCUGGCCUUUAUUAGCUGCUAUUUUCCUUCUUGAAGCACCAAGGUAAAGGAUGGUAAAAGGAUUUCCUGUCUCUGGACUACAGCUUGGUUUCACAAUUCAAGUGCAGAUCUACAAACAAUAAGAAACAACACCCUUCUGUGCGAGGCAAUUGUAAGGCAGCCAUGGCAGUUCAAAUGCUGGGGAGAACUGUUCUAUGGUACAAGAAGGAGCAGCAUUCUGGCAGCUCUUGCUGAAGCAGCUGGGAAAGUGACCUUAUAAACAGAGCUGGUAUACUCCUCUCUGUUCACAGCCUGAGGAGUUGGAGGUGCUGAAAAACAAAGGAGGCAAAGUAAGUGCAUGAAUGAUACAGACUUUUAUUCCACUGAGUUACAGGGGCCCUUUUUCCAAAAGCUUGUAGUGGUGUGUUCACUGACUGCUAGAAAUGCUUGGACUGCUUUUCUAUCCCUUUUUGAUGUAAGAAUUCUUAACUAGAAAGCUAAUAAUAAUUACAUGAUUGGAGGAAAUUGAAUGUGAGACUGCUAUUAAAUUUAAACAUGGCCCUUAACAACAUUAAGUCUGAGAAGCCGUGCACAAUCCAAAACAAUCAAGAAGAAACUUAUGUUUUUGUUUUUCUCCUGGAAAUAAGUCUUAUGUAGAAUGGUUUGUGGAUGCAGCAUCAUGACCAUUCCUCUGAAGAAGAAACUGAAGCCCUUUGCACCUCUACUUCUGUUGCAGCCUUCACAAACGUUUUAAUUUUUGUGAUGGAGUUUCUUCUCUUAGCUAUAAAGCAUAUGCAUAUUGCUUGCUAUCCUGUCAGUAAUCUGCUUUGCUGGACCCUGGAAACAUUCCUACUCACUGCAGUGACUGUGCAAGUUCUGUGUGCUGAAGCAACAAGUGUGGCACGGUAUGUGGAGAAACACCACUAGUGAAAGGAGCGGGGACCCAGCAGCUGGAUAACCAUAUGCCAGGGCUCUUGGGAUAUCUUGCCAGCCACCAAUUUUUUGUUUGAACCUGAGCCCCCAGAAUUCAUGAACCAUGGAUGUUAGAUUACCAGACAUAAGGCACAACCAUGCGUGCUAUAUUUCCAAAGGCACGAUAAUAUAAGAAGUGACUUCCUGAUAAAGAAAUUAUGGCUUCCAGUGCAUUGAUCAGGGAGUACAUCAGAAGCUUUCAAAAGUAAUAAAGACUCUAAGGAGACAAGAACAUGAAAAACCAAGCAAACUAUAAUUCUCCAAGACCUAAAAAAGAAGACUCAUAGCUCCUCCUUCAUGUUACUAAUUUCAUACAGCAUAAUGAAAAAAGAGACUAACAGCUUUGAGCCUUGCCAAGAUGGAUGGUUCAGAUAGUGGUAAUUUCUUAGUUUAGGGGGAGAAGUGUAAAUUUUUAGGCUUGGCCACUGCCAUGUUCCAUCCACGCUGCAGUUUGGAAUGAGCUCACAAUGUUCAGCUGACAACAGAAGAAAAAGUAACAGAAUGUCUCAGAAAAUGGCUAUUCAUGUCCAAAUACAAAAUGCAACUUUUUGGAAGGACUUUCCUAUAAUUAAACAGGAGC